rnacentral:rRNA from 1 species
CCUACGGGUGGCAGCAGUGAGGAAUAUUGGUCAAUGGCCGGAAGGCUGAACCAGCCAUGCCGCGUGCAGGUCAGUGCCCUAUGGGCGUUAAACUUCUUUUGUGCGGGAGCAAUAAUGGUCACGUGUGGCCAGACGAGAGUACCGUACGCAUAAGCAUCGGCUAACUCCGUGCCAGCAGCGGCGGUAAUACGCGGGAUGCAAGCGUUAUCCGGAUUUAUUGGGUUUAAAGGGUGCGUAGGCUGUGAGGUAAGUCAGCGGUGAAAUGCCCCGGCUCAACGGGGUGAAGUGCCAUUGAUACUGGCAUGCUGGAUUGCGAAUGCCGUGGGAGGAAUGUGUGGUGAAGCGGUGAAAUGCAUAGAUAUCACACAGAACACCGAUUGCGAAGGCAUCUCACGAAUCCGAGAUUGACGCUGAUGGACGAAAGCGUGGGUAUCAAACAGGAUUAGAUACCCGGGUAGUC